rnacentral:rRNA from 1 species
AAAGCUCGUAGUUGAAUUUCGGGAUCAAUAUUUCGGUCAUGCCGUUGGUAUGCACUGUUAUCAUUGAUUUCUCACCUUCUAAAGAACCGUAAUGCCAUUAAUUUGGUGUUACGGGGAAUUAGGACUGUUACCUUGAAAAAAUUAGAGUGUUUAAAGCAGGCUCACGCUUGAAUACAUUAGCAUGGAAUAAUGAAAUAGGACAUCCGAUUCUAUUUUGUUGGUUUCUAGGAUCGAUGUAAUGAUUAAUAGGGAUAGUUGGGGGCAUUAGUAUUCAAUUGUCAGAGGUGAAAUUCUUGGAUUUAUUGAAGACUAACUACUGCGAAAGCAUUUGCCAAGGAUGUUUUCAUUAAUCAAGAACGAAAGUUAGGGGAUCGAAGACGAUCAGAUACCGUCGUAGUCUUAACCAUAAACUAUGCCGACUAGGGAUCGGAUGAUGUUAAUUUUUUAAUGACUCAUUCGGCAC